rnacentral:lncRNA from 1 species
GUCUCAUUGGGGUCUAAGCGUGAUGCAGGAUUGUCGAUAUUUUGUAAGCGUGACCCGUGAACGUCAAAUUAUUUUGCCGUGAAAACGGGAAAUGAAGCCUAACGGGACACAGGAAAUUACAUAAAGUGAUACUUGCUUACCUACAUAGUGUAAGAGGGAUGCUGGAAUCUGACAAAACAGUUAGCGGUAUCCGGGAUCAGAACAACCCCCUUUUACCCCCCAA